GACGAACGCUGGCGGCGUGCCUAAUACAUGCAAGUAGAACGCUGAAGGAGGAGCUUGCUCUUCUGGAUGAGUUGCGAACGGGUGAGUAACGCGUAGGUAACCUGCCUGGUAGCGGGGGAUAACUAUUGGAAACGAUAGCUAAUACCGCAUAACAGUAGAUGUUGCAUGACAUUUACUUAAAAGGUGCAAUUGCAUCACUACCAGAUGGACCUGCGUUGUAUUAGCUAGUUGGUGGGGUAACGGCUCACCAAGGCGACGAUACAUAGGCGACCUGAGAGGGUGAUCGGCCACACUGGGACUGAGACACGGCCCAGACUCCUACGGGAGGCAGCAGUAGGGAAUCUUCGGCAAUGGACGGAAGUCUGACCGAGCAACGCCGCGUGAGUGAAGAAGGUUUUCGGAUCGUAAAGCUCUGUUGUAAGAGAAGAACGAGUGUGAGAGUGGAAAGUUCACACUGUGACGGUAUCUUACCAGAAAGGGACGGCUAACUACGUG
rnacentral:rRNA from 1 species